rnacentral:rRNA from 1 species
GACGAACGCUGGCGGCGUGCUUAACACAUGCAAGUCGAACGGUGAAGGGGCCUGCUUUUGUGGGCCCUGGAUGAGUGGCGAACGGGUGAGUAACACGUGAGUAACCUGCCCCCUUCUUCUGGAUAACCGCAUGAAAGUGUGGCUAAUACGGGAUAUUCUGGGUCUGUCGCAUGAUGGGUCUGGGAAAGAUUGCGCCUUUGGGUGUUUUUGGUGGGGGAUGGGCUCGCGGCCUAUCAGCUUGUUGGUGGGGUGAUGGCCUACCAAGGCGGUGACGGGUAGCCGGCCUGAGAGGGUGGACGGUCACACUGGGACUGAGACACGGCCCAGACUCCUACGGGAGGCAGCAGUGGGUAAUAUUGCACAAUGGGCGCAAGCCUGAUGCAGCGACGCCGCGUGAGGGAUGGAGGCCUUCGGGUUGUAAACCUCUUUCGCCAGUGAAGCAGGCCUGCUCCGUGUGGGUGGGUUGACGGUAGCUGGAUAAGAAGCGCCGGCUAACUACGUG